rnacentral:precursor_RNA from 9 species
CUGCUCAUGCAAUACGGCUGCUGUCGGCGGCCUUUCUCGGGUAAGCUAAAUUGUUUUUGUGCGAAAUUUGGCACGCCCGUGGAAUGCCCAUUGCAGUAUGCCAGUAAUCCUUGUAUUG